rnacentral:rRNA from 1 species
AUACGGGGGGCUCCAGUGGGGAAUAUUGGACAAUGGGGGAAACCCUGAUCCAACAAUGCCGCGUGUGUGAAGAAGGCCUGCGGGUUGUAAAGCACUUUCGGUUGGGAGGACUGCUUCUAGCACUAAUAUUGUUGGAAGUUGACGUUACCUUCAGAAGAAGCACCGGCUAACUCCGUGCCAGCAGCCGCGGUAAUACGGAGGGGUGCAAGCGUUAAUCGGAAUUACUGGGCGUAAAGCGCGCGUAGGCGGCUAGAUCAGUCGGGUGUGAAAGCCCCGGGCUUAACCUGGGAACUGCAUCCGAUACUGUCUAGCUUGAGUACAGGAGAGGAGAGUGGAAUUCCACAUGUAGCGGUGAAAUGCGUAGAUAUGUGGAGGAACACCAAUGGCGAAGGCAGCUCUCUGGCCUGAUACUGACGCUGAGGUGCGAAAGCGUGGGGAGCAAACAGGAUUAGAUACCCCGGUAGUC